rnacentral:misc_RNA from 1 species
UUUCCGUAGGUGAACCUGCGGAAGGAUCAUUAAUGAGUCGUCAUGGGGUUCGAUGCUGGCUGCCAGUUUUUGGAUGCAUGUGCUUGCCCUAACAAUCAUCUUCUUCCAAACACCUGUGCACAUUUUUGAGGGAGUCUUGAGUUGGUUGCCGCUCUUGGGUGAUUUUCUCACAUUCCCUUAAAUCAUUAUACGCUAUUAACAAUGUUGAACGUGCUCUGUGCCGCAAGGCCAUUAAUAUAAUACAACUUUUAACAACGGAUCUCUUGGCUCUC